rnacentral:rRNA from 1 species
GAUGAACGCUGGCGGCGUGCCUAAUACAUGCAAGUCGAGCGAACAGACGAGGAGCUUGCUCCUCUGACGUUAGCGGCGGACGGGUGAGUAACACGUGGAUAACCUACCUAUAAGACUGGGAUAACUUCGGGAAACCGGAGCUAAUACCGGAUAAUAUAUUGAACCGCAUGGUUCAAUAGUGAAAGACGGUUUUGCUGUCACUUAUAGAUGGAUCCGCGCCGCAUUAGCUAGUUGGUAAGGUAACGGCUUACCAAGGCGACGAUGCGUAGCCGACCUGAGAGGGGGAGGGCCCACAUGGAAAGGGAGACAGGCCCAAGACUCCGGGGGGGGGGAGAGGGGGGGAUUUUUCGGAAGGGGGGAAAGGCCGGCGGAGGAAAGGCGGGGGGAGGAAUGAAGUUCUGCGGAUCUAAAAACUUUGUUAUGGGGGAAAAAAAAAUGUGUAAGUAAUUAGGCGCGUCUUGACGGUACCUAAUAAAAAAGCCAGGGCUAACUACGUG